CUAAACCUUAAUGUUAGAGCACCCAUACAAUCAUUCAAAGGACACAGCCAUGAAGCAACACUACGCUUUCUAACACCACACUUACUCUUAGGUUAAGUAACAAGGGAAAGUAAAAAAAUUGUUGCAAAAGUGCAGGGAAGAAAACAACCAAAACAAGUCCACAAAAAGACUGGCAUCAUGCUCACAGAUAUUCCAAGAACUGAAAAAGUAGCUAAGUUUACAAGAUAAACCUUGUCUAGUGAAUAAUUAACAGGGUUCCUGUCUUUUUGGCACAAAGCAUGGAUAUGAACCGAACUUGUGAUGUUAAAGAGAUUACAGAGUGCAUUUAGUAGGACUUCUGUGGCUGGGACAUGUUGAGUGGUGAAUGCAGCAAAGGUUUUCAUGGAAAAAAGAACAGAUUUCACGAAGGUGAGCCUCCAAGUUUUGCCCAGGAAAGACCACCAUGUUGUCAAGACUAAGCAGAUGAAUAAAAAGGCCCAGGAAAAUAAACUGUGCUUACAUGUUAUA